ACUUUAAUAGGUCACAGUAUUAAAGGAAGAUGGAGUCUUUUUUAAAGUUAGAAUCAGUGUUUGCUAAAUGUAAUCCAAUACACUGAGCCUGAUCUUGCCAGGUAAAUGAGAUGCUCCUGAGAUAAGUAGGGAUUCUAUGGAUACCAGCUGAGCUUGAUUUUGGCUCUCUGAAAUUGAAUGGACUGUGGGAAAACAGACAUCUUCUCUAGUUCCAAUCUGCACAUUGUAAAGAUCAGAACUAAAGACAACAACUACAUUAAAAGGAAUAAAGAAAUGAGUAGCCUCCUGUGCAGAAGCAAAGUUCAAGGCUACAGUUGAGAUGUAUAUUAGUCACAUCUCAAUCACCUUCAUUAUGGUAUCAAUGGAUGAAAAGUACCCAGAAAAGGGGGACACCGUAUGAAGGAGACACCAACAAAGUCAUA
rnacentral:lncRNA from 1 species